CGCGCUGCGCCCCGCCCCUUGCCCUCUAGGCCCCGCCCGCCGGUCCUUCGACAGCGCCCCGCCAUUGGCCGCUCCCUCCCCGUCCUCGGCGUCCGGUUGGAGAAGAGGGGCAUCCGUCUUCUUUCCGCAGCCAGCAUGUUAGGCUGCCCCAGCCUCUUCGUUUGAUCUUGCUGUCAGGCGCCGCCGACCCUCCUCUCUGCCUUGUGACCCGCUCAAGGGCGCCUUGGAGACAGCAGGUCCCCACUCGGGGCUGCCCCUCGCGGUGCCUGCGUGCGUUGCUGGGGACUGGCUGUGCUUUUUUGUAAGGUCAGGCCACCGCCGCCCACUCCAAUGUUGACACCUUUUCCCCCCACACCAAGCUUCAAAAACAAAACCUCUUAUCGCACUUAAGAACGGCGUAACUGCGCCGGGUAUGAAAAUCAGCAAGCGCUACCACCACCCUUUGCUAAAUCUUCAUGUACUGAGGAAACGUAAAACAUUUCACCCUUCUGCACCCUUCGGCCCUUACCUCAAAGGGUUGGUGUAAGAACACGGCAGUCCCUUGUUCGGAGGCAAAUAUUUCAAAAGCUUGGAACUCCUGCUGGGACCCGGAGCUUAGAAGCCACACACUUACAUUAAAACAAGAACCUGCGACCCUACAGACAUUGCUGGCCUCCAACUCCCAGCAGCAGCAGCCAGAACUUUUAUAAAAACAGAACUUUUAUAAGUUCCUGUACUUCAAACACCUCAAGCCAAUUAAAGCUGGCAGCAAUCAAAA